AUACAUUAAAAUACGCAACCAACCGUCAUUGAACCGUCCAAUCAGAUCAAAGGAGUAAUCGUCGUAGAUCGUGCGUUAUCGAUAAUGUUCGGUGCCUGGAGAAAAUUGACAAUUGACAAGAGAAUUGUUUAUUAUUUUUGACUUUUUAGUUCGUUUAAUUUAAUAAUUACUAAAACCAGUAGUUCGAAAGAUAUAUUUAAAAAUAAAAGAUAAAAUCCAAAAAAUUAAUUAUCUAUUAACGUGGAUUUGGACGACAAUAGGUUUUUAGUUUGUGAUGUUUCAUGUGAUGAUCAUUUUCAUGUUCAUCGUCUUUGAAUUGACAUGAGGAUAUCUAUGGAAAAGUAACUAAUCUGAAAGUAAGCCAACAUAUCGUUUGUCCUUUGUGUGCUAAAGAAAAGAUUUUCUUUUCGCAUCAUGAGGAAGUAUUACAUCAAUUAAAAAAUGUUAGGAAGUUGAUUACUUGUCAUGGAAAAGUAUACCAAUGGAAAUUAUUUGUUAAAGAAGUAUAAUUCUAAGGGUUUUAAGAAUAAAUUGGUUGAACCCAAAAUCUGGAGGAAGUACCUAUAUCCAUACACAGAAUAUGCCCAUUAAAAAUACUAGUCCAAAUUUGCUUUAAUGGUAGACAAUUAUUCAAUACAAAUUAACUUUUUAAGUGACUGAAAUAUUAAAUAGUUUAGAAUAUGGUAUAACAAUGUAAAAAAAUAUUAUUUUCAGGAACGAUUAGGGCCCGAUAUAUUUGAAACUCAUGUUGGACAUAGUAUUGAGUUGGGUAGAAUAUUAUUCUACGUUAAGUGAGGGUAUCAGAUACCUAUUAUUGUACUGUAUUUUAAUAUAUACAUUAGAAUUGUUGGUUUUUU